rnacentral:rRNA from 1 species
GCAAGCGAGACAAGGGCGCAUGGGGGAUACCUGGGCUCUCAGAGGCGAGGAAGGACGCGGCAAGCUGCGAAAAUCGACGGGGAGCGGCACACACGCUUUGAUCCGUUGGUGUCCGAAUGGGGCAACCCGGCCGCCCAGUGGCGGUCAUCCUGUUUAUUCAGGAGGCGAACGGGGGGAACUGAAACAUCUAAGUACCCCCAGGAGAAGAAAACAAGAGUGAUUCCGCAAGUAGCGGCGAGCGAACGCGGAGCAGCCCAAACCGCCGGCGUCAAGGCGCGGGCGGGGUUGUAGGACCACCCGAGUGGGUGACGAUUCAAGCCGAAGCGCCUGGGAAGGCGCACCGCAGGGGGUGAGAGUCCCGUAGGCGUAGCGAUUGUCACCUGAGGUGGUAUCCUGAGUAGGGGGGACCGGAGGAAUCCCCUCUGAAUCCGGCGGCACCAUCCGCCAAGGCUAAAUACUCCUGAGAGACCGAUAGUGGACGAGUACCGUGAGGGAAAGGUGAAAAGCACCGCGAACAGCGGGGUGAAACAGAACUUGAAACCAUGCGCCUACAAGCGGGCGGAGCCGGCUGUUUACAGUCCAGUGACGCCGUGCCUUUUGCAUAAUGAGCCUACGAGUCACGGUCGCCGGCGAGGUUAACCGCCAUGUAGGCGGGGAGCCGGAGCGAAAGCGAGUCCGAACAGGGCGCGCAGUCGGCGGCUGUGGACGCGAAACCCGGUGAUCUACCCUUGGCCAGGCUGAGCCGCUGGUAACACAGCGUGGAGGGCCGAACCGGUAAACGUUGAAAAGUUUUCGGAUGAGCCGAGGGUAGGGGUGAAAGGCCAAUCAAACCGGGAAAUAGCUCGUACUCCCCGAAAUGCCUUUAGGGGCAGCGUCGGGCAACGGCCGGCGGCAGGUAGAGCUACCGAUAGGGCUAGGGGGAGUCACAUCCUACCAACCCCUGACGAACUCCGAAUGGCCGCCGUUAGGCCCGGCAGUGAGGGCGCGGGUGCUAAGGUCCGCGUCCGAGAGGGGAACAACCCGGAGCACCGGCCAAGGUCCCCAAGUGUGCACUAAGUUGAGCUAAGGGGGUCCGACUGCAGAGACAGCCAGGAUGUUAGCUUGGAAGCAGCUACACAUUUAAAGAGUGCGUAACAGCCCACUGGUCGAGCGGGGCGGGCACCGAUAAUGAACGGGCAUCAAGUGCACCACCGAAGCCGUGCGGUAGUAAUUUAUUACGACCGGUAGGGGAGCAUUCCCAGGGGGGCGAAGGCGUGGCGCGAGCCACGCUGGACCGCUGGGAAAAGCAAAUGUAGGCAUGAGUAACGACAAUGCGCGCGCGAAACGCGCACACCGGAAGACCAAGGGUUCCCCCGCUAUGCUAAUCAACGGGGGGUCAGGCGGGGCCUAAGCGCCAGCCGAAGGGCGAAGCGCGAUGGACAGCAGGCCAACAUUCCUGCCCCCGCCCGCAGUGCGAGCCGGUGACGGAGCGCGGUGGUCCUCACGUACCGACGGAAUGGUGCGUUGGAGCGGAGCCUUCGGGCGAGGCGAGAGGGCGGACGCGCUUCCAAGAAAAGCCGGCGAAGCGCCAGCUGCGGGCGGCCCGUACCGCAAACCGACACAGGUGGUCGGGAAGAGGAUUCCAAGGUGCUCGAGUGAAUCACGGCUAAGGAACUCGGCAAAUUGACCCUGUAACUUCGGGAUAAGGGGGGCCUACUCUGAGAGGAGAGGCCGCAGAGAAACGGCCCAGGCGACUGUUUAGCAAAAACACAGGGCUCUGCCAAGGCGAGAGCCGACGUAUAGGGCCUGACACCUGCCCGGUGCCGGAAGGUUAAGAGGGGAUGUCAGCCGCGAGGCGAAGCAUUGAAUCGAAGCCCCGGUAAACGGCGGCCGUAACUAUAACGGUCCUAAGGUAGCGAAAUUCCUUGUCGGGUAAGUUCCGACCUGCACGAAUGGUGUAACGAUCUGGGCACUGUCUCAGCCGUGAGCUCGGUGAAAUUGUAGUGGCGGUGAAGAUGCCGCCUACCCGCCACGGGACGGAAAGACCCCGUGCACCUUUACUGCAGCUUUGCGUUGGUCUUGGGUCAGCGGUGUGUAGGAUAGGCGGGAGGCAGCGAAGCGGCGUCGCCAGGCGCCGUGGAGCCAACCUUGAAAUACCGCCCUCCGCUGUCCCGGGUCCUAACCCGGUUCAACCGGGGACCGCGCAUGGCGGGCAGUUUGACUGGGGUGGUCGCCUCCGAAAGGGUAACGGAGGCUUCCAAAGGUCGGCUCAGCACGCUUGGUAACCGUGCGGGGAGUGCAAUGGCACAAGCCGGCUUGACUGCCAGGCCGACGGGCCGCGCAGGUGGGAAACCAGGGCAUAGUGAUCCGGUGGUCCCGCAUGGAAGGGCCAUCGCUCAAAGGAUAAAAGGUACGCCGGGGAUAACAGGCUGAUCUCCCCCAAGAGCUCACAUCGACGGGGAGGUUUGGCACCUCGAUGUCGGCUCGUCACAUCCUGGGGCUGGAGAAGGUCCCAAGGGUUCGGCUGUUCGCCGAUUAAAGUGGCACGCGAGCUGGGUUCAGAACGUCGUGAGACAGUUCGGUCCCUAUCUGUGGUGGGCGCAGGAGGACUGAGGGGGGCUGCCCUUAGUACGAGAGGACCGGGGUGGACCCACCGCUGGUGAGCCGGCUGUCCCGCCAGGGGCACGGCCGGGUAGCCACGUGGGGAGCGGAUAAGCGCUGAAGGCAUCUAAGUGCGAAACCGGCCCCGAGAUGAGUCCUCCCGAUAGCAGGGCCGUCGUAGACGACGACGUCGAUAGGCCGCAGGUGCACGCGCCGAGAAGCGCUCAGCCGAGCGGUACUAAUCGCCCGAGGGCUUGCGGC